CUAAGAAUAUUCCGCAAUGGACGAAAGUCUGACGGAGCGACGCCGCGUGGAUGAAGAAGGCCGAAAUGUUGUAAAAUCCUUUUGCUGAGGAAGAAUAAGUGUGGGAGGGAAUGCCCGCAUGAUGACAUGAAUCGGCUAAUAAGCCCCGGCCAACUACGUGCCAGCAGCCGCGGUAACACGUAGGGGGCGAGCGUUGUUCGAAAUUACUGGGCGUAAAGGGCAUGUAGGCGGUUAUGUAAGCCUGGCGUUAAAGUCCACAGCUGAACUGUGGGAUUGCGUUGGGAACUAGAUGACUAGAGUUACGGAGAGGGAGCUAGAAUUACUGGUGUAGGGGUGGAAUCUGUAGAGAUCAGGAAGAAUACCGAUGGCGAAGGCGGCGUGCUGGGCUUUAACUGACGCUGAGGCUCGAAAGUGUGGGGAGCAAACA
rnacentral:rRNA from 1 species